GUGUCAGCCGCCGCGGUAAUACAGAGGGUGCGAGCGUUAAUCGGAAUUACUGGGCGUAAAGCGUGCGUAGACGGCUAUCUAAGUCGGGUGUGAAAGCCCCGGGCUCAACCUGGGAAUUGCAUUCGAGACUGAAUAGCUAGGGUGCGGUAGAGGGAAGCGGAAUUUCCGGUGUAGCGGUGAAAUGCGUAGAUAUCGGAAGGAACAUCAGUGGCGAAAGCGGCUUCCUGGACCAGCACCGACGUUCAGGCACGAAAGCGUGGGGAGCAAACAGGAUUAGAAACCCCCGUAGUCC
rnacentral:rRNA from 1 species